ACAGAGAGCAGGAGGUCUCACCCACUGUGGAUAUUUUCUGUCAGAGAAGCCCCAGAGGAAUAGGAAGAAAAGGGGAGGUCAGACUGAGACCAGGGUUGGGAUAAGAGGCUGAAGACAUUUCUGUGGUCACACAGAGACAGCAGGACCAAGAAGGGACCUUAGCUGACAUGCACAUGACAAAUGGGGUGGUUCUCUUCCCUCGGCUUGGCAAAACACAGGCUUUGCUCUAAAACACCACGCCCAUCCCUAUAACUUCUCAUCCAAACUCAGCUACUGGGUGAAGGGGAGCGCCAUCAAUAAUAGGUAGAACUGAGGAGUAAACUGGAACUGUACUGGGCAAACCAUGACAUGUGUCACCUUGCCAACUGAUAUAAGAAGAUCAACACAUUAUAGAUGAGAAUGCUGAGUCUUGGAGAAGAUAAAUUAUGGAUGCAAGCUUACCCAGCCAAGAUGGAGAGCACCUGAACACAGAGUCUGUCCUUGGUGUCAGAGGCUGCCUCUCCCCAGCUUCCGUAAGCCUAUGCUACACUUUUCCAGGAAUCUGUUCACACCACAGGCACUGUUUGAGCACUAACUGUAGUAAAGCACUCUGCGGGAUGAUCAGUCACAAAAUAGGAAACAACCACAAGGAGACGGCUCCCAAACUUACCAGUGUUGACCAUGUGUGGACUUUGAACUAGGUAUUCUCCCUUCUUUCGCACAAAACUAUGAGUUUUGGCGCCCCCUGUAGGCAUGGAUGACAGUCAUCGCCCAUCAGCCUAGCACUAGAGAACCCACUGGUGUCGCAGCUUCACUCCCCUCUGCCCUUCCCCUCCUUGCCAAGGAAGAAGGAGCGGAUGGCAUU